AGCUGGUCCUGGUGCAGUGGUGUUUACAACUGAUUGAUCACCGCCAGUUAGUUACAGAUUCCUUUGUUCUCUCUCCUCUCCCUCUGCUUCACUUGACUAGCCUUAA
ensembl:misc_RNA Y_RNA Y RNA